CAAUAGCGUAUAUUAAAGUUGUUGCAGUUAAAAAGCUCGUAGUUGGAUUUCUGGUGGGAGCGAUCGGUCUGGCGCUUAGCGCGAGUACUUGCAUCGUCUCCGGCCAUCCUUGGGGAGAGUCUGUCUGGCAUUAAGUUGUCGGGCAGAGGAUCCUCAUCGUUUACUGUGAAAAAAUUAGAGUGUUCAAAGCAGGCUUAUGCCGUUGAAUAUAUUAGCAUGGAAUAAUAAGAUAGGACUUUGGUACUAUUUUGGUGGUUUGCGCACCAAAGUAAUGAUUAAUAGGGACAGUUGGGGGUAUUCGUAUUCCGUUGUCAGAGGUGAAAUUCUUGGAUUUACGGAAGACGAACUACUGCGAAAGCAUUUACCAAGGAUGUUUUCAUUAA
rnacentral:rRNA from 1 species